CAACGAGUGGGCCUGGUCACGUAGGUUGACUCCAAAUAACAACAUUGGCUCUUGGUUCCACACAGGUCUCCUGGGUCAAAGUCUGGGGUUUGUUUGAGCCAUCCACCUCCACUCUUGCCCACCUGAAAUGGACAUUGGCACUCUUUGUAUUACGUCCGUCUCUCUAAGCGUCUAAUACCACCACGGAUGGGUUUACAUUGGAGUCGGUGGGAAGUCUGGUGGGUUGUUAUCUGAUGAGUGGGAGUGGUUGGGACUAAUUGCCACAACAUCUGAUUUGGUUUGAAUUCAGUGUGUAAAGAACAAGAGAAUCAAAACUUAAUUUCAUGGCAAUCCAUCCUAUUGUUGCCAAGAUAUUUCAGUCUAGACCAAAGUGUUUGGUUGACUCUCCAUAAAGCAUCAAUUGUUUUUCACAGUGGUGAUAUCAAUCAAUGUAUCUGUGUAUCAGUCCUGCAGCCUUGGAGUCACUUGAGGUUUCAGAUAUGGCUGCCAUGUUUACCUGCAGACUAAAGGUUACUGUUUCAGAACCUUUUUUGGCUGAGCUAAUACACUGAAUACACAGAACACAGAAAACAUUGAACUACAUGAACUAUAGGACUCUAGCAGCACUGUAUACGAGACGAGGUUCAGCUUCAUGUCUAAACCGAUUCAGAACUUGGUCACCAAAGGCUGUCGGUGAAUUCAAAGAUGGUCUGAACUCACCUGGCUCGUGUCUGAUGUGGAGGCAGGCGAUGAGAAAGACAAAGAGGUUAAAAGAAGAGAUGAUUUAAAUAAGAGUAAAGGCAGAUAUGUUCAACCUUCACUAGGCUGGACGGCGUAGUGGCUGGACUCACCAGCUGCCGCCCCCCUGACGGCCGGUUAAUCAUCAACCCUGACUGAUCAUGGCUGUACGUGUAGCCACUCAAAAUAAAAAUAAAUAAAGACA